AUUACAAUCUAUAUUUAUUUGACCCUGGUUACAAUCUAUAUUUGGUUUAUAAUAUUUUUCUUAUCACUUAGGCGCUCAACCUAGACCAAUGAAUUAUAUGCUAUAUGCAACUACGAUUGUUGGAGAUUCUUUGACAACAAACUUGAUCUAUCCAUCUUAACGGUAUUAGGGCAUUAGGCUUGAUUCUGGGCAUUAGGCUUCCUUUUUAUUUUAAUGGUAUUAGGUAUGAUUCACCUCCUUGCCUUAUAUCGCUACUUCACGCUCUUCGACUUAUACAAAAGGGCUUUUGUUGCUAUCUUUCAUUUGUAAUGGAGUAUUUAGAUCAAGAAACUAAUUUAAAUGAAACUAUUGUGUUAAUAGAGUUUCCUAUUGUAUUCUUGGAUGACUUGUUCGGAUUAACUCCAAAUGGAGUUGGUGAAUUUGCUAAUGAUUUCGUCCCCGGGGACAACCCCCAAUAUCUAUAAGGAAAAUGUGGAAGGGAGAGGAGAGGAGCUGCGACAAAAGGUGGAAGAGGUAGGAGGGAGGAGGAUCGGGGAAGGGAUGUCGUCGUUGUCGUUUCUAUAAGAAAAAUGUCGCAACGACAAGAGCUACGUGGAGGAUCCAAAAUAACCUAGAUUGAAGAUGAGGUGGUGGAGAGAGGAUCCGGGAUAGGAGAUCGAAUCUUAGGAAGGUGAAAGGAAUCAUCGGAAGAUCCUAGGAAUUCGAUUUGGCUACUAUUGAAUAUUAUCUACUAAUCUACACACAAAACAAAAUCUACCGAGGAAAACGCCGCAGCCGAGAACUCCUCGGAGGAAGACACCGCCGUUGCUUCCGCUUUUCGCCGAUGGAGAGGAAGACAACCGCUCGUCGAGGAAACGCCGCAGUCGCCAUUGGGGAGAAGGAGAGUCGCCACUAGGGAGAGAGUCGUAGUGUUUAGGGCAUGUGUGCACCCGGGUGCUUGUUGUGAGGUCGGUAAGGGUCGGGGUUUUGUGGUGUCGUGAUUCUUAUUUGGUUUAAACUAGAGAUCCAAACUAACUCGACUCAGGUUGGACCCAAUUGUAAUUGAAUCAGACCCGUGUCCGCACCGAGCCCUGCCUCGGCCCAACUAAAUAUUAUUAAAAUAGAAAAAUAAUUGAGAUUUAAAAUAAUUGACACAGACGACGUUACCAAUAAUAAAUGAUCAAAUAAUUAGAUAAAUGCUCAUAAUUGAAUCAGGCCGAUGCCUGAGCCGAACCCAUCUUGGGCCCAUGGGCCACGCGCUCACCCGUGCUCGAGAUUCCAUGGAAAAAUAAAUCUUAAGCCCCUGAGUUAUUAUAACCCGGAUUCCAUCGUAGUCACUCACAAACAGCCCGUUGCGAUUCCAUACUUAACUCAGGGGCUUAAUAUUUAUUUUUCCAUAGAAUAUAAGAUCUCGAGCACGAGCGGGCGCGUGGCCCAUGGGCCCAACCUGGGCACGGCUCAGGCAUCUACCUGAUUCAAUUAUGAGCAUUUAUCUCAUUGUUUGAUCAUUUAUUAUUGGCAACGUGGUCUGUGUCAAUUAUUUUAAAUAUCAAUUAUUUUUCUAUUUUAGUAAUAUUUAGUUGGGCCCAAGCAGGGCUUGGUGCGGACACGGGUCUGAUUCAAUUACAAUUGGGUCCAAGCUGAGUCGAGUUAGUUUGGAUCUCUAGUUUGAACCAAAUAAGAAUCAUGACACCACAAAACCCCGACCCUUGCCUUCCUAACAACAAGCGCCCGGGCGGACCCGUGCCCUAAACACUGCGACUCUCUCUCCAACGGCGACUCUCUUUCUCCCCAACGGCGACUGCGGCGUUUCCUUUGCAAGCGGUUGUCUUCCUCAAGCGGGAAAGAGUAUGUGUUCUAAAUGAUCCAAUUAUCAAUAACCAAAUCCUAAAGAAGGGUAAUAAUUCAAAGUAUGUGAUAAUACGGAUUAGAUUGUUGAUUACAUUUUAAUUUUAUGGAUUUUAAGACAAGGUCGCACCUCUUGUAUGUGAUAAUUUGGGGGGCGUGACAAGGGUGGUAUCGGAGCAUGAUUUAAGGAUUACUAAGAUAUUUGAUUCAUUUGAUGUGCAAAAUGAUAUUGAGGUUUAGUAAAGACAUCUGGUCUUCUUGAGGAAUGAAGUUGGAAAGGUAGUGAAGUCGAAAUCUUAAAUUUUCGAGGAUGGCUUAUUGGGAUUUGGGAUUGAGUGUGUGUUCGAACCGACCCAAAUUAUGAUUUGAAUAUUAUGAUAAAAGGGCAUGACUUAAUGAUAUUUAUGGCUUCUAUCUAUCUGCAAUCUGAUCUCUUUCAACAAAUUUAGAAACGGCAUCUAAGGGAUACGCAUUUAA
rnacentral:lncRNA from 1 species